GAGCCGAGGCCACCCCAAAGGGGAGAGCAGGAAGAAUGACAAGGAGACUGGGAGGGGGGUAGAGGAGGGAGUUGAACGCAGCCGGACUGGCCUUCUCGGGGCCGCUUCCUCAAAUCGCUUCGGCUCAACGGAGAUAACCAUACUAAAAUUAAUACCCACACACACAGACCCGGGCUAGAUAGCAAGAAAGAAUUCUCUGCCUGCCUGACUGCCGGCUCCCGCCCCUUUGCGCCAAGAUAACUCUGAGAUAAGGCUGAGCGCAGAUAAGCGCUUCGGGGAGAGGAAAAGACACCAGAAGUUGGUCCGCGGUGUCCCGGGAACCUGGGAGCCUGCCGGGAAUGGAGAAGAUAAAUCGAAGUAAAUGAUUUUCUAAAGAUGAUCCCCAGAGACCUGCUUUUCCGGCCACUCCGCAGCAGCCGGGAGAGGGUGCCCUGGCCCCCGCACGGCCGGGACAGAGCUGAGAGGCGGGACGCACACCAAUUUCACUAUGUGCCAUUUCUAAGGCUCGAGAAAGGACCUGACAUUUUACCACCGCCCCCCCACCCCCACCCCCACCCCCAGAACUCCGAUUGCGUUUGAGUAUUGCUCAGAACAAAGGUGGGGGCAGGGAGGUAAUUGUUUGCUCUCUUGCAAGGUCACAAAUUUUUUUUUUAAAGACUAGUUUUGUUUUUCUUGCCAAUUAACUAAGAAAUAAAACUGUUUGACCCAUGGAAUUGAUUCAGACAGAAAGCCAG